CAUAUGCUUGUCUCAAAGAUUAAGCCAUGCAUGUCUGAGUACAGACCGAUCUAAGGUGAAACCGCGAAUGGCUCAUUAAAUCAGUCAUAAUUUCUUGGAUAGUGAUAAAAUUUCCUCGGAUAACUGUGGAAAAUCCAGAGCUAAUACGUGCAACUGAGCUCCGACCUCGACGCGAGUCUUGGGAAGAGCGCAUUUAUUAGAUUCAAAACUGACCGGUGUACUCCUUCGGGAUACGCCGUUUGUCAAAAAGUUUGAUGACUCCGGAUAACUUAGCCGAGCGCUACGGUCUUUAGUACCGGCGCCGUAUCUUUCAAGUGUCUGCCUUAUCAGCUUUCGAUUGUAGGUUAAACGCCUACAAUGGCUGUAACGGGUAACGGGGAAUCAGGGUUCGAUUCCGGAGAGGGAGCCUGAGAAACGGCUACCACAUCUAAGGAAGGCAGCAGGCACGCAAAUUACCCACUCCCAGCCCGGGGAGGUAGUGACGAAAAAUAACGAUGCGAGACUCUUCCGAGGCCUCGCAAUCGGAAUGAGUCCAUUUUAAAUCCUUGGACGAGGAUCCAUUGGAGGGCAAGUCUGGUGCCAGCAGCCGCGGUAAUUCCAGCUCCAAUAGCGUAUAUUAAAGUUGCUGCGGUUAAAAAGCUCGUAGUUGGAUCUCCUUAAUCCAAUUCGUGGGUGAGUCGCUCUUAGUACUAGCGCCUCGUGCGGUUCCUUGAUGACGUCGUCGUCGCGCGCGUUCUUUCUCUUUUCUUCUGCUCGUUGUCGCGUUCUUCUUCUGCUCUUUCGGGAGUUGGGAGUCGACGCACGCGAUGUCAGAGAAAGAGGAGGUUCCUCCGCCGGCAACGCUACAGAAUCUCGUGGGCGGCGAGGUGUUGUCUUAGAGUAUAGCUCGUCCGCGUUUGGUACAAUUACAUUUUUGUCGGCUCGCUCGGAGUGCUCUUUACCGAGUGUUCCAGGGUGGCUGACACGUUCACUUUGAAAAAAUUAGAGUGCUUAAAGCGGGCUUAUUUACGGCCUGAAUGUCUGUGCAUGGAAUGAAGUAACAGGACCUCGAUUCUGUUGUUUUUGUCGGUUUUAUUGAACCGAGGUAAUGAUUAAAAGGGACAGACGGUGGCAUUAGUAUUGCGACGCUAGAGGUGAAAUUCUUGGACCGUCGCAAGACUAACUACUGCGAAAGCAUUUGCCGAGAAUGUUUUCAUUAAUCAAGAACGAAAGUUAGAGGAUCGAAGGCGAUCAGAUACCGCCCUAGUUCUAACCCUAAACUAUGCUAACUAGCGAUCCGCCGGAGUCAUUCCCACGACCCGGCGGGAAGCCCCAGGGAAACCAAAGUCUUUGAGUUCCGGGGGAAGUUAUGGUUGCAAAGCUGAAACUUAAAGGAAUUGACGGAAGGGCACCACCAGGAGUGGACGUGCGGCUUAAUUUGACUCAACACGGGAAACCUCACCAGGCCCGGACAUCAUAAGGAUUGACAGGUUGAGAGCUCUUUCUCGAUUUGAUGGGUGGUGGUGCAUGGCCGUUCUUAGUUGGUGGAGUGAUCUGUCUGGUUGAUUCCGAUAACGAACGAGACUCUACCCUACUAACUAGUCGGCGGAUCGUAACCCUGAGAUGGUUAGUUUGUAUAGGAGAGUUUUUGCCGAGACGGCCUCUCUGCGAGAUCGCUAGUGGUUUCGGUGUGCGGCGUUUCCCCUCCUGCCCGUUAGCCCCCCUCUAAAGGGAGCGAAGCGAGUAGUGGGUUCGUCGUACUCCUCCUCUAGCGGUUUACUGAUACCGUCGAAGCGGCUUUCCGAUUACUACUACUGCUGGGGGCGUCCGUCGUAAUAUAUCUUCUUAGAGGGAUCAGCGGCGUAUAGCGCACGAGAAAGAGCAAUAACAGGUCUGUGAUGCCCUUAGAUGUUCUGGGCCGCACGCGCGCUACAAUGUAGGGCUCAGCGUGCUUUCCCUCUCCGAAAGGAGAUGGGUAACCCGUUGAAACCCCUACCCGAUUGGGAUUGGGGAUUGCAAUUAUUUCCCAUAAACGAGGAAUUCCCAGUAAGCGCGAAUCAUUAAUUCGCGCUGAUUACGUCCCUGCCCUUUGUACACACCGCCCGUCGCUACUACCGAUUGAAUGAUUCAGUGAGGGCAUCGGACUGGCCCUUCGGUUUAGUUACCUAGACCUUAGGCUGACGGAAAGAUGUCCGAACUUGAUCAUUUAGAGGAAGUAAAAGUCGUAACAAGGUUUCCGUAG
rnacentral:rRNA from 1 species